GCAAGGCCUGACGCGAUUGGAUGACGCCCAUGUUCGAUUAGCUAGUUGGCGGGGUAACGGCCCACCAAGGCGACGAUCGAUAGCUGGUCUGAGAGGAUGAUCAGCCACACUGGAACUGAGACACGGUCCAGACUCCUACGGGAGGCAGCAGUAGGGAAUAUUGGACAAUGGGCGCAAGCCUGAUCCAGCCAUGCCGCGUGAGUGAAGAAGGCCCUCGGGUUGUAAAGCUCUUUUGUUGGGGAAGAAAAGCAGUUGGUUAAUACCCGAUUGUUCUGACGGUACCCAAAGAAUAAGCACCGGCUAACUUCGUG
rnacentral:rRNA from 1 species